CAAUAGUGUAUAUUAAUUCUGUUGUGGUUAAAAAGCUCGUAGUCGGAUUUCGGAAUGCGAGAGUCAAAGUCCGUCCAAGUGGCGUGGCUCGACACUCGCUUCCUCUUAUUGGGUGACAGCCCCGCUUCCUUAACGGGUUGCGGUGUGCCGUUCCCAGUCGUUUAUUAUGACAAACUCGGAGUGUUCAAAGCAGGCGUAAAAGCCUUGAACGUCACAGCAUGAGAUAAUGAAAGAUGACAACGGUCUUAUUUUGUUGGUUUCUAAGGCUGCUGUAAUGAUUAAUAGGGCCAGUUGGGGUCGCUCGUAUUGAAUUGUCAGAGGUGAAAUUCUAGGAUUUAUUCAAGACGAACUACUGCGAAAGCAUGCCGACAAGGAUGGUUNCAUUGA
rnacentral:rRNA from 1 species